ACUCCUACGGGAGGCAGCAGUGGGGAAUAUUGCACAAUGGGGGAAACCCUGAUGCAGCAACGCCGCGUGGAGGAUGACGCAUUUCGGUGUGUAAACUCCUUUUAUAUGGGAAGAUAAUGACGGUACCAUAUGAAUAAGCACCGGCUAACUCCGUGCCAGCAGCCGCGGUAAUACGGAGGGUGCAAGCGUUACUCGGAAUCACUGGGCGUAAAGCGCGCGCAGGCGGGCUAAUAAGUUGGAUGUGAAAGCCUACGGCUCAACCGUAGAACUGCAUCCAAAACUGUUAGUCUAGAGUCUGGGAGGGGAAGAUGGAAUUAGUUGUGUAGGGGUAAAAUCCGUAGAGAUAACUAGGAAUACCAAAAGCGAAGGCGAUCUUCUGGAACAGUACUGACGCUGAGGCGCGAAAGCGUGGGGAGCAAACAGGAUUAGAUACCCUGGUAGUCCACGCCCUAAACGAUGAAUGUUAGUCGUUGGAGUCCUAGUGACUUCGGUGAUGCAGCUAACGCAUUAAACAUUCCGCCUGGGGAGUACGGUCGCAAGAUUAAAACUCAAAGGAAUAGACGGGGACCCGCACAAGUGGUGGAGCAUGUGGUUUAAUUCGAAGAUACGCGAAGAACCUUACCUAGCCUUGACAUAUAUUAGAACUCCGCAGAGAUGCAGAGGUGCCUUCGGGAGCUUUUAUACAGGUGCUGCACGGCUGUCGUCAGCUCGUGUCGUGAGAUGUUGGGUUAAGUCCCGCAACGAGCGCAACCCUCGUCACUAGUUACUAACGGUUCGGCCGAGGACUCUAGUGAGACUGCCUUCGCAAGGAGGAGGAAGGUGAGGACGACGUCAAGUCAUCAUGGCCCUUACGGCUAGGGCAACACACGUGCUACAAUGGCCAGGACAGUGAGACGCGAUACCGCGAGG
rnacentral:rRNA from 1 species